UGUCCGGAAUUAUUGGGCGUAAAGGGCUCGUAGGCGGUUUGUCGCGUCGGGAGUGAAAACACCGGGCUUAACUCGGUGCUUGCUUUCGAUACUGGCAGGCUAGAGUCAAGCAGAGGGAAGUGGAAUUCCCGGUGUAGCGGUGAAAUGCGCAGAUAUCGGGAAGAACACCGGUGGCGAAGGCGGCUUCCUGGGCUUGUACUGACGCUGAGGAGCGAAAGCUAGGGGAGCGAAC
rnacentral:rRNA from 1 species